rnacentral:rRNA from 1 species
AAUCAACGCUGGCGGCGUGCCUCAGACAUGCAAGUCGAACGAUUAAGACUUCCUUCGGGAAGUGCAUAAAGUGGCGCACGGGUGAGUAACACGUAAGUAAUCUACCCUCGAGUGGGGAAUAACGUUCGGAGACGAACGCUAAUACCGCAUAAUGCAGCGGCAUCGCAAGAUGACAGUUGUUAAAGGAGUAAUUCGCUUGAGGAGGAGCUUGCGGCAGAUUAGCUAGUUGGUAAGGUAACGGCUUACCAAGGCUACGAUCUGUAUCCGGUCUAAGAGGACGGUCGGACACACUGACACUGAAUAACGGGUCAGACUCCUACGGGAGGCAGCAGUCGGGAAUUUUGGGCAAUGGGCGAAAGCCUGACCCAGCAACGCCGCGUGAAGGAUGAAGUAUUUCGGUAUGUAAACUUCGAAAGAAUGGGAAGAAUAAAUGACGGUACCAUUUAUAAGCUCCGGCUAACUACGUGCCAGCCGCCGCGGUAACAC